UGGGGAAUAUUGCACAAUGGGGGAAACCCUGAUGCAGCGACGCCGCGUGAGCGAAGAAGGUUUUCGAAUCGUAAAGCUCUGUCCUAUGGGAAGAUAAUGACGGUACCAUAGGAGGAAGCCCCGGCAAACUACGUGCCAGCAGCCGCGGUAAUACGUAGGGGGCAAGCGUUGUCCGGAAUCACUGGGCGUAAAGGGUUCGCAGGCGGAAAUGCAAGUCAGUUGUGAAAGGCAGAGGCUCAACCUCUGUAAGCAAUUGAAACUGUAUUUCUUGAGAUGUGGAGAGGCAAGUGGAAUUCCUAGUGUAGCGGUGAAAUGCGUAGAUAUUAGGAAGAAUACCGGUGGCGAAGGCGACUUGCUGGACACAAACUGACGCUGAGGAACGAAAGCGUGGGUAGCAAACAGG
rnacentral:rRNA from 1 species